UACGUAGGGGGCAAGCGUUGUCCGGAUUUAUUGGGCGUAAAGAGCGUGUAGGCGGCCAGGUAGGUCCGCUGUGAAAGUCCGAGGCUCAACCUCGGAAUGUCGGCGGAAACCCUCUGGCUAGAGUCCGGAAGAGGAGAGUGGAAUUCCCGGUGUAGCGGUGAAAUGCGCAGAUAUCAGGAAGAACACCCGUGGCGAAGGCGGCUCUCUGGGACGUGACUGACGCUGAGACGCGAAAGCGUGGGGAGCGAACAGG
rnacentral:rRNA from 1 species